rnacentral:snoRNA from 1 species
GACUUGCAUGCAAGUUUUCCGAUUUUUUCGCGAGAAAAAACCAGUCCGACGACUUGCAUGCAAGUUGCAUGCAAGUUUUUCCGAGUAAAAAAUCGACUUGCAUGCAAGUUUUUCCGAGCAUUUUUAGUCGGAAAAACUUGCAUGCAAGUCGGAAAAACUUGCAUGCAAGUCGGAAAAACUUGCAUGCAAGUUGAAUUUUCCGAGUAUUUUACUCGGAAAAACUUGCAUGCAAGUUUUUCCGAGGUUUUUACUCGGAAAAUUCGACUUGCAUGCAAGUUUU